CGUAGGGAGCAAGCGUUGUCCGGAUUUACUGGGCGUAAAGCGCGCGUAGGCGGCUCGUCAAGUCCGGCCUGAAAGCCCCCGGCUCAACCGGGGAGGGUGGCUGGAAACUGGCGGGCUUGAGGGCGGAGAGAGGAGGGUGGAAUUCCUGGUGUAGCGGUGAAAUGCGUAGAGAUCAGGAGGAACACCCGUGGCGAAGGCGGCCCUCUGGCUCGACCCUGACGCUGAGGGGCGAAAGCGUGGGGAGCGAACGGGAUUAGAUACCCCGGUAGUCCACGCCGUAAACGAUGGUCACUAGGUGUGUGCGGUAUCGACCCCGCACGUGCCGGCGCUAACGCAUUAAGUGACCCGCCUGGGGAGUACGGCCGCAAGGUUG
rnacentral:rRNA from 1 species